rnacentral:rRNA from 1 species
AAUACAUGCAAGUCGAACGCGCGGAUCAGGAGCUUGCUCUGUGACGCGAGUGGCGGACGGGUGAGUAACACGUAGGCAACCUGCCCAUCAGACUGGGAUAACCACGGGAAACCGUGGCUAAUACCGGAUAACCCUUUUCCACACAGGUGGGAAAGUUGAAAGGCGGUCUUUUGGCUGUCACUGAUGGAUGGGCCUGCGGCGCAUUAGCUGGUUGGUGGGGUAACGGCCCACCAAGGCGACGAUGCGUAGCCGACCUGAGAGGGUGAUCGGCCACACUGGGACUGAGACACGGCCCAGACUCCUACGGGAGGCAGCAGUAGGGAAUCUUCCGCAAUGGACGAAAGUCUGACGGAGCAACGCCGCGUGAGUGAAGAAGGGUUUCGGCUCGUAAAACUCUGUUGUCAGGGAAGAACGCCGACGGGAGUAACUGCCCGUCGGGUGACGGUACCUGACCAGAAAGCCACGGCUAACUACGUGCCAGCAGCCGCGGUAAUACGUAGGUGGCAAGCGUUAUCCGGAAUUAUUGGGCGUAAAGCGCGCGUAGGCGGUUCGUUAAGUCUGAUGUGAAAGCCCCCGGCUCAACCGGGGAGGGUCAUUGGAAACUGGCGGACUUGAGUGCAGAAGAGGAGAGUGGAAUUCCAUGUGUAGCGGUGAAAUGCGCAGAGAUAUGGAGGAACACCAGUGGCGAAGGCGGCUCUCUGGUCUGCAACUGACGCUGAGGUGCGAAAGCGUGGGGAUCAAACAGGAUUAGAUACCCUGGUAGUCCACGCCGUAAACGAUGAGUGCUAAGUGUUAGGGGGUUUCCGCCCCUUAGUGCUGCAGCUAACGCAUUAAGCACUC